CGCGUGGUCAAACUUCUUAUGGGUCUAUCAUUCCCACGCCUGCUGCUUAAAGAAAAUGCAUUGUACUUUAAACCAGCAAUAAGUUUAUGGAUUAAUUAAUCCAAUUAGAACAUUUUUCUUUGCCUAGCAUACAGUUUUUGCAAUUUUCCCUAUUACAUUCAAUCAAAUAAGUAAUAACUAAGUGCAUCUGUAGUCUGGAAAAGAAAAUGGAACAGAAAGAGAAGGGGUAAAGGUAAAAAUUCCAACAGUCCCUUUCCCCACAAGAAUAACCCCAUGCCUGAUACUUGUCUUAGGAACUUGAAGAAUCUCUCUGAGUCCUGCUACAUCAGCACUUUUGGGAUUAAUCCAUGGGUGUUUGAAAGGAAUGCAUUGUUGUCACUCUGUCGACCAGGCUGGUGUCCAGCAGCAUGAUCUCAGCUCACUGCAAUCUCCAUCUCCCGGGUUCAAGCUAUUCUCCUGCCUCAGCCUCCUGAGUAACUGGGAUUACAGGCACCACCACCACGCCUGGCUAAUUUUUGUAGUUUUAGCAGAGACGGGGUUUCACCAUGUUGGCCAGGCUGGUCUUGAACUCCUGACCUCAAGUGAUCCACCCACCUCGGCCUGCCAAAGUGCUGGGAUUACAGGCUUGAGUCACAGUGCCUGGACUCAACUUUCUUUCUUUAAAUUUUAUUUUAUGUUCUGAGGUAUAUGUGCAGGAUGUGCAGGUUUACUACAUAGGCACACAUUUACCUAGGUUCAACUUUCUCAGUUGUAAAAAGCAAAUAAAUUAUAGGAGAGUGUUUAUGCACUUUAGAUAGUUACUGAAUUAUUCACUAUUUUGAAUGUUGUUCUAAAUUUGUAGAGGAACUAGAUUUGGAUUAGUAAAAGUUACUGGUGAGAAUUUUUACUCAAGAGUAGCAUUUUGGAAACUCAUUGUCCAACAAGACUGAAGUGAAGGUUCAAGUGCAGCAACAGCAGAGAGGUAAUGAAACCACUUUUGCAAAAUUCAUGACAGUAAGAGAAUUAUGACUGUGAAAGAGAUCUGACCUAACUCCAUGUUGCCUUUAAUCUCCAAACUGCCCUUGGUCAUUCCUGGGCAUGGGCCAAGCUAACUUUGAGAGAACUUUAGUUUAUGGUUUAAAUGAUAAUAGCCCUUCCCAAAAUUAAACUGCCUUUGUAAAACUAAUGAAAGGCAACCAGGUUAGGAGAAUGAGAGGUGCCUGAAGUCUGCUAAUAUAUAGGUGAUAUGGUUUGGCUGUGUCCCCACCCAAAUCUCAUUUUGAAUUGUAGCUCCCAUAAUUCCCACGUGUCAUGGGAGGGACCUGGUGGGAGGUAAUUGAAUCAUGGUGGCAGAUUUUUCCCAUGGUAUUGUCAUGACAGUAAAUAAGUCUCACAGGUCUGAUGGUUUUAUAAAGGGGAGUUCCCCUGCACAUACUCUCUCUCUCUUGCCUGCAGCCAUGUAAAAUGCACCUUUGCUUCUCCUUUGCCUUCUGCCAUGAUUGUGAGGCCUCCCCAGCCAUGUGGAACUGUG
rnacentral:lncRNA from 1 species